rnacentral:rRNA from 1 species
GUUGUAUGGUUAAGUGACUAAGCGUACACGGUGGAUGCCUUGGCAGUCAGAGGCGAUGAAAGACGUAGUAACUUGCGAUAAGCCCAGAUUAGGUAGUAACAACCAUUUGAGUCUGGGAUUUCUGAAUGGGGAAACCCACGUGCAUAAGCACGUAUCCUUACCUGAAUACAUAGGGUAAGGAGGCGAACCGGGGGAACUGAAACAUCUAAGUACCCCGAGGAAAAGAAAUCAACCGAGAUUCCGAAAGUAGCGGCGAGCGAAAUUGGACUAGCCCUUAAGCUUUACACGCGUUAGACGAACGGUCUGGAAAGUCCGACGAUACAGGGUGAUAGUCCCGUAGUUGACGACGUGUGUUCAGUGAAAUCGAGUAGGGCGGGACACGUGAUAUCCUGUCUGAAUAUGGGGGGACCAUCCUCCAAGGCUAAAUACUACUGACUGACCGAUAGUGAACCAGUACCGUGAGGGAAAGGCGAAAAGAACCCCUGUGAGGGGAGUGAAAUAGAACCUGAAACCGUGUACGUACAAGCAGUAGGAGCACCUUCGUGGUGUGACUGCGUACCUUUUGUAUAAUGGGUCAGCGACUUAUAUUCAGUGGCAAGGUUAACCAUCUAGGGGAGCCGUAGGGAAACCGAGUCUUAACUGGGCGUUCAGUCUCUGGAUAUAGACCCGAAACCAGGUGAUCUAGCCAUGGGCAGGUUGAAGGUUGAGUAACAUCAACUGGAGGACCGAACCGACUAAUGUUGAAAAAUUAGCGGAUGACUUGUGGCUAGGGGUGAAAGGCCAAUCAAACCUGGAGAUAGCUGGUUCUCCCCGAAAGCUAUUUAGGUAGCGCCUCGGACGAAUACUACUGGGGGUAGAGCACUGUUAAGGCUAGGGGGUCAUCCCGACUUACCAACCCUUUGCAAACUCCGAAUACCAGUAAGUACUAUCCGGGAGACACACGGCGGGUGCUAACGUCCGUCGUGGAGAGGGAAACAACCCAGACCGCCAGCUAAGGUCCCAAAUUACUACUAAGUGGGAAACGAUGUGGGAAGGCUCAGACAGCCAGGAUGUUGGCUUAGAAGCAGCCAUCAUUUAAAGAAAGCGUAAUAGCUCACUGGUCGAGUCGGCCUGCGCGGAAGAUGUAACGGGGCUAAGUAGUAAACCGAAGCUGCGGCAAUGUGCUUUUGCACAUUGGGUAGGGGAGCGUUCUGUAAGCGGUUGAAGGUGUGUGGUAACGCAUGCUGGACGUAUCAGAAGUGCGAAUGCUGACAUGAGUAACGAUAAAGGGGGUGAAAAACCUCCUCGCCGGAAGACCAAGGGUUCCUGUCCAACGUUAAUCGGGGCAGGGUAAGUCGACCCCUAAGGCGAGGCCGAAAGGCGUAGUCGAUGGGAAACGGGUUAAUAUUCCCGUACUUCUUACAAUUGCGAUGGGGGGACGGAGAAGGCUAGGUGGGCCUGGCGACGGUUGUCCAGGUUCAAGUGCGUAGGCUU